rnacentral:tRNA from 1 species
GGGGGCGUGGGCCAACUUGGUAUGCUUCUAGGUUUGGGACCUAGCGAUCUGUGUUCAAAUCACGGCGCCCCCAC